rnacentral:rRNA from 1 species
AGUGAAGCGGCAACAGCUCAAAUUUGAAAUCUGGCCUCUUCGGGGUCCGAGUUGUAAUUUGUAGAGGGUGUUUCGGGCGCGAUGCCGGUCUAAGUUCCUUGGAACAGGACGUCGCAGAGGGUGAGAAUCCCGUACGCGACCGGCGAUCAAGCCUGUGUGAAGCCCCUUCGACGAGUCGAGUUGUUUGGGAAUGCAGCUCAAAAUGGGUGGUAAAUUUCAUCUAAAGCUAAAUAUUGGCCAGAGACCGAUAGCGGACAAGUAGAGUGAUCGAAAGAUGAAAAGCACUUUGGAAAGAGAGUCAAACAGUACGUGAAAUUGUUGAAAGGGAAGCGCUUGCAAUCAGACCGGUCCGGAGGCGAUCAGCCGCUGCUCGUUCAGCGGUGCACUCGCCUGCGAUCCGGCCAGCAUCGGUUUGGGCGGUGGGAUAAAAGUCCCGGGAAUGUAGCUUCUCUCGGGGAGUCUUAUAGCCCGGGUCGCAAUGCCGCCCGCCUGGACCGAGGACCGCGCUUCGGCUAGGAUGCUGGCGUAAUGGUUGCAAGCG